GGCAUCUGCCAUGAACUCCCAAGAGGGUCGGUGGGGGGCAGAACACUGAAGUUUCACCCGGGGUGGCCAAUUGUCUUGAGCUAGCUCUGUGCACAAGCAAGUUUGGAUGUGUGCAUAUGUGGUCAGUUAAGUACAUGUAAACUUAUGCAGUUUUGGGGCAUCUCAUAGGCUCCUGGUAAAUUGCUAAUCUAUCCCUUGGCAUUGCAAACUUGGGUCACUUCUCUUUAGGGCUGGGUAAGAAUAGCAGUGACAUGCUGGCAAGUUGCUGGGGAGGAACAUGCUCCUCUGUUUAAAGGGCCUGUGUUCUAGUGGAAGAGGAAGAGAUGCUAGAGUUUCCCUUUUGUUCCUAAGAGGAGGCCCAAGGAUUUUCAGUUGUUUUUUUUUUUUUAAUAUAAUGUUACAUACGCGAAUCUAAAAUGGUCACAAGCUUCAGCAUCAGCAACUGAUCAGAGUGGGAAAAUAACCUGGCUCAUGUUUGUGGCCUAAGACAAUUCGCUAUUUUUUGAAACAAAAUCCACAAUUGUCAAGCAAACAGCUGAGUUUGAUUAAAAUGAAGGCUGCAGCUGCCUAUAUUUUGAUCUGCUUGAGAAACUUCACCUGUUCAUGGCUGAAUCAGCCUUUGAAAAGGUCAUUGGCUGGCUCAGCAAACUGAGGGUGGAAUUUUAUUUCUGAGUGGGGGAAUUUACAGGAUGGUGGUGUAGGUUAGCCAACCCCAAACAUGUAGAAUUAACAAGUCCAGUCCCCUAAAACCAUGAGAUUAAAAACAAAAAAAGCACGUUAGGUGUUUUUUGUUGUUGUUGCCUUUUGGAGUCUGAGCCUUUAGAAUGUGUGUUCUUCAUGUUUUCAAGCUUUUUUCUGCAACCAUAAAAGCUAGAGAUUAUUAAUUUUUUUUUUAAAUGAAAACUGAGAGUCUCAUAAAGGCUCAUGAACCCAGUAGUAAGGAAGGGCUUGAAGAAAACAGUUUAAAAAAAAAAAUCACACGAUUAGUGAUUAAUGCGUAGAGGCUACUCAAGACAAUCUGCUGUGCUGGGCAAUACUGAUGGAGACCGGGUUUCCAUAGUGCCCAUUGGUGGUCCAUGGAAGCAUUGCAUGGGUGAAUUAGAUCUGUGUGGCAAGGUCUGUUGUGAACAUUAGUGAUUCUUCUGCUCAUCCCGGUUUCUAGAAUGCUCUGCUUGUGGGUGUAUAUACGUUAGCAGCGUUUUUGCAGAGCUGCCUAGCAGUCUUAGAUGCCCCGUUCCAUGUUCAGCUUUGAAAGCCUCAGCCAAUGCAUAUUUGCAUCCUUCCAGUUAUGGAGACGCUGUGUGCACAGACGGAGGGCAGCGCAUGGAAUGCUCAGCUGUUUCCAGAUGUGAGAGGAGAAGGUAUCCAUCUGUGUCAGGAGAAACCCUUGCAUUCUUUUUCGCCAUGGCUCCUCACCCUCCCUGGCCUCCCAACCCUGGAUCAUGUGUGGAUGGCUGUACUCCUUGCACAACCUGGGAAUAAGCAUUUUAAUACAAAGCGCAUUCCUGCAAAGGAGAUCAGCUUUCAGGCCUGGAGAUACACAAAAGAGACUCCCAGUGACAAUGCUCAGGCAUUUGGUCACACACACAGCCACAGUGGAAUCUGCACCCCUGCUACAGGGGCAGAGUUCAGAGUCCCCAGAGGUUUCAAGCCCUGGAGCUCUACUGAGGCAGCAGCUCCGGCAAAGCAAAAGGCUGAGACCAAAGAGCAUUUUAGGGGCUAAGGAGCCAAACCAGUGAGCUACAGGAAACGGAGCUUUGGCUCUGGGAUGCCAAAUAUCAGCCAGAGCUCACAUUCUCAUAUAUGGCUCAGUCAUCCCUGGUUUAUGCGGGCUUCCACUAAUGUGUCCCAGGCUGCUGGGCCCCUAGCUGUGGAAAGUCUGCCAGCCUGUGGUGGCACAAGAUGGUCACAACUUCCCCUCCACUAGGAGGGCCCCCCCCCGACAGCAGGGGAACCCCCAAAGUGGGCAACAAACUGGCUGGGAAAUCAUGUCCAUAAGCGCCCCCUGCUCCAGCCUCCGUUGGUGUGGCUCCUAGGAAGUACAUGGCAGAAACUAAAGCAGCCUUCACUUAGAAAAGAUACCCAAACACCCCUUUACCUCCCUUCCGAGCAGGGAUGAAACUGGCCCAAUCUCUAUAGCUCAGCGUGACUCGCAUAAUUCAGAGAUUAAAGUCCCCUGAUCACUAUGAACUGAGUCUGAGAGAGCUGGAGAAGACCACAAACUUCUUUGGUUCUGUGAAGCUCUGAAUCAGCCCAGCUCCAUGAAACUCUUUCCCUGAUGUAACUGGCAGCUGCCUGGGUUUUGUGUCAUAGCCCGAAGAGUUGCUUUUAACACCAUUGUUUUGUAUUUGAGGAUCUAGACUAUAUGGGUCUAGCAAAAACAUCUCAGCAUCCCUUUAAACAUGGAGGGCAAAGUUGUCCCAUUGCACAUGCCAGGAGCCUUCUCUCUGGGGACAGAGAGAGGGAAGGGACAGGUGUAUCAGGCUAUUCAAAGGACUGUCAUGGAAGAGGAAAUGCAUUUUUCCCAUUCUGGAGAAGACAGCGUGAGAAGAAGAUUGUCUUAGGCCUUUGUCUCUCUGGCACCUGGCUUACCCUGCCAAGGUGCCUCAAGGCUGAGCUGGAGAGAUGAGGGAGCUCAGCAUCUAUGUCCCAUUCAACCUGUGACCUCUCUACUUUGAUGCUCAGAAAAGGCCAAUAGUGCUGGAGAGACCCACCAGACUCCUUUCAUGCAGGCCACUGAACAGUCAAUGUUUGGUCACUAUUCAUGUUUGGGUAUUGUCCCUGUCCCCAUAGCCAUCAAACUGCCAGUAUAUAGCUACCUUAAUGACAUUUUAAAGGCUCAUUAACUAAAUGAACCCUGUGUACUGGCUUAGCCAGGAGAGGAAGCUGAAGGCAGCUACUUGGCAUUUUACUCACCACCUG